CCUUCAGAGAGCUUCGGCUCACUAUCGGAUCGUUUUAGAAACAUCAGUGGCCAACGGUCGUCAGGAUCGUUGAGCUGCAUUGGCGGGAUUUCGCCGUCUACGUUUCUCUUUCUUCGCGGACGAACACGCGCUGGGCCUGUAUGCGCAGGAUCCCAUGGUCCUUAACGGGAUAUGCGUUAGGGGCUUGUAGCUCAGUUGGUUAGAGCGCGCGCUUGAUAAGCGUGAGGUCGGAAGUUCAAGUCUUCCCAGGCCCACCACACUCAUCGAGUGAGCAUUCGUCUUCUGGUUACGGGGCCAUAGCUCAGCUGGGAGAGCGCGUGCUUUGCAAGCAUGAGGUCGUCGGUUCGAUCCCGUCUGGCUCCACCAGAUGGUUUGAUCACCAACGACAACCGUCGUCCGCGAAACAUCACUUCGCAUCCUGCUAGUCUGGAUAGACAGCAGUUUGCGUGAUUUCUGACAUCGUAAAGAGGAGAUCGAUCCGAGUUGGAUCGUGCAGAGAAUAUCUGCGCGAGACUUCAUUAUCUCCGGAUCAUUUCGGCGCUCGUGCGCCUUUCAGUGUAGCUCACAAGGCUGCGCCUGGAAGACAUACGAGUUGUAAAUGAUCCUUUUAGCGAAGCUUGACCGCCUCGCUAUCGGAACGAUCUUACGAAGCAAGCUGGUCUUUCUAAUCAUUGUCCGGCUGCAGAUAGCGUUCAUCGAGGGCGCGUGCCGCAAGGUAAUUCUGCAGACAACAUUCUGCCGAGUGUGUGGACAUUGAUAAUGAGAGCAAUCAAGUGCCUUAAGGGUGUUCGGUGGAUGCCUUGGCGCUGAGAGGCGAUGAAGGACGUGCUACGCUGCGAUAAGCCGUGGGGAGCUGCGAAGAAGC
rnacentral:misc_RNA from 1 species